GACGAACGCUGGCGGCGUGCCUAACACAUGCAAGUCGAGCGGGACCAGAAGCUUCGGUUUUUGGUUUAGUGGCGAACGGGUGAGUAACGCGUGAGAAACCUGCCUCUCAGUGGGGGACAACAGUUGGAAACGACUGCUAAUACCGCAUAACACUUUAGUACCGCAUGGUACAGAAGUCAAAGCUUUAUGUGCUGAGAGAUGGUCUCGCGUCUGAUUAGCUAGAUGGCGGGGUAACGGCCCACCAUGGCGACGAUCAGUAGCCGGUCUGAGAGGAUGAACGGCCACAUUGGGACUGAGAUACGGCCCAGACUCCUACGGGAGGCAGCAGUGGGGAAUAUUGGGCAAUGGGGGAAACCCUGACCCAGCAACGCCGCGUGAAGGAAGAAGGUCUUCGGAUCGUAAACUUUUGUCUUCAGGGGACGAUAAUGACGGUACCUGAGGAGGAAGCCACGGCUAACUACGUG
rnacentral:rRNA from 1 species